UUAAAUACCAUUUUCACUAAUUGCAUUCAUUACUUUGAUUUUAUAUUUUGAGGUAAGUAGAGAAACCCUUGGGUAUGGCAAAAUGGGGAUUGGUGUCAGGUGGGCAAUGUGAUGGAUAGAAUGACAGCCUCAGAGACCCCUGAGUGAGAAUGGAAAGUGGGUGGCCUAAAUGACAUUGUACAAAAAAGAUUAACCUUGAUUUGCUCUCUUCCACUUCUUGCCUUCCAUGUGGACUAAUAAAUUAGAGAGACUGACCAAGUGGAUUUUCUUCCGUUUCUUAAGCAGAUUUAUUAUUUCUGGGACUUUUUAGCCACGUAGUUUCUUUUUAUUCCUCUUUGAUACCCUGAAUAACUAGCCUUAGAAACACAAGUAAAGCUCCCAAAAUUUCAUUUUCUACAUAUUUUAUUACCAGCAGCCCAUGUCUAUGGAAAAGAAGAAAUGUUCGCAGAUUUCAAAGGAAGUCAUUUAUUCUCCCAACUUGCACUGAGUGCCAGCAUCCAACAUGUCAAGUGUCAUUGUUGUUCAAUAUUCUCUUACUUGCCUAAUUCAAUUAAAUCGUCUCUGUGGAUGGCUAGGCCUUGAUCAUAUGCCUCGAUCAUAGAUGUUGCGUGCAGUACAGCAUAGCAACUAAAUUCUGGUGCUUUCCCUACUGUCUGGGAAAGGUAGUUAGCUCGCUGUUCCUCAUCUGAAAAAUGGUGAUAAUGAUUAUUCCUCCUUCCCAGGGAUAUUCAGGUGAUCCAGUUAUCCAAAGCAUUUAGGACAGUGCCUGGCACAUAGUAUUGUUGCUAUUCCACGUGGACUGAGUUUGAUUCCUUGAUACAUGAAAGAUAAGCUGGGUAUUAUAUUACAUACCAAGCUAUACAUACAUGCACACAAAUACAUAUACCUAUAGGAGCUGUUUGACUUGUCUUAAAGUAUGAAAAGAUUUAUGUUUAAAAUUAAAUGUGAAAAUUCACCAAAAAAAGAGAGGAAGAGCUGUAAGGGUGAGCAGUCUAGGGUAGGAUGAUGGUGACCCUUAGGGGUGGGUCAGGAGGUGAGGCCACCAAGGUCAUGGCCAAGGAAGAAUAAAAUAAUGCAUGUAAAGUACCUGGUACAUAGAAGAUGAUAACUGUGUGUUAAAGGUACCUCCAUUCCCACUCUGCCCCUGCUAAACCAUAAUCUUUUCUGUCUUCGUGUAGACCAUGUGAAGGGCGCACAUAUCAUUUAUCUUAUUUUACAGAUGCGAGAUGAGGCUCAGAGAGUUUUUCCAGCCAGGCCUGCCUCCUACCAUGAAUCUCUAUCUGUGGGGUCCAGGCAUCAAUAUUUUUAAAACGUCCCCAGUCGAUUCUAAUGUGAUUCUAAUGUGCAGUUUCGAGAAAACCAUGCGCUCUCUAUUGCUUUGACAGUGUCAAAUCGAAUGUUACCCCCUGGUU
rnacentral:lncRNA from 1 species